CAAGGAAGGCAGCAGGCACGCAAAUUACCCAAUCCCAGCUCUGGGAGGUAGUGACGAAAAAUAACAAUGCGGGACUCUUCCGAGUCUGCGUAAUUGGAAUGAGCACACUUUAAAUCCUUUAGCAACAACCAAUUGGAGGGCAAGUCUGGUGCCAGCAGCCGCGGUAAUUCCAGCUCCAAUAGCGUAUAUUAAAGUUGUUGCGGUUAAAAAGCUCGUAGUUCGAUUUGAGUUGCGGACUGGUGUGGGAGGUCACCGCCCGGUGCUUGCCCGCCAGGUUCCGAACAGCUUCCGUGAGUGGAAGCCAAGCCGGUUCUGCCGGGGUGCUCUUUACCGAGUGUCCCGCGCGGCCGGCCAGUUCACCUUGAAUAAAUGAGAGUGCUCAAAGCAGGCUACUCUGGAAUACAAUGCCCGAAUGUUAGCUGCAUGGAAUGAUGGAAGAUGAUCUCGGUUGCAUUUUGUUGGUGGUGGCAGCCAGAGGUAAUGAUAAAGAGGGACUGUCGGGGGCAUCCGUACUACGACGCGAGAGGUGAAAUUCAGUGACCGUCGUAGGACGAACAACAGCGAAAGCAUUUGCCAAGAAUGUCUUCGUUGAUCAAGAAUGAAAGUUAGAGGAUCGAAGGCGAUCAGAUACCGCCCUAGUUCUAACCCUAAACGAUGCUGACUAGCAAUUCGCCGUCGUUAUUCCCAUGACGUGGCGAGACGCCCCCGGGAAACCUCAAGUCUUUGAGUUCCGGGGGUAGUAUGGUUGCAAAAGUGAAACUUAAAGGAAUUGACGGAAGGGCACCACCAGUAGUGGAGCCUGCGGCUUAAUUUGACUCAACACGGGGAAGCUCACCAGGCCCGGACACCAGAAGGAUUAACAGAUUAAGAGCUCUUUCUCGAUUUGGUGGGUGGUGGUGCAUGGCCGUUCUUAGUUGGUGGAGUGAUUUGUCUGGUUAAUUCCGGAAACGAACGAGACUCUGGCCUACUAAAUAGUGGACGGGCGUUUUGGUGCAUGGGCCCCGUUCGACACAGUCUUCUUAGAGGGAUGAGCAGCGAGUAUAGCUGCAGGAGAUUGAGCAAUAACAGGUCUGUGAUGCCCUUAGAUGUCCUGGGCCGCACGCGCGCUACACUGAAUUGGUUAGCGGGUUGUCCUUCUCCGAGAGGAGCGGGAAAUCGCGUGAAACCAUUCGUGAUAGGGAUUGGGGCUUGCAAUUGUUUCCCAUGAACGAGGAAUUCCCAGUAAGCGCAAGUCAUCAGCUUGCGUUGAUUAAGUCCCUGCCCUUUGUACACACCGCCCGUCGCUACUACCGAUUGAAUGAUUUAGUGAGGCCUUCGGACUGGCGGUCUUGGACUGGGUCGUGUGGUUUCUGCCAGCAAUGGGGUGCCUACGACUCGCCUAGACGGGCCGGAAAGAUGUCCAAACUUGAUCAUUUAGAGGAAGUAAAAGUCGUAACAAGGUUUCA
rnacentral:rRNA from 1 species